AAUUUGAUUUCCCAGAAAAGCUCAAUCCAUCGAAAAGCCACUGCAUCGCCUUAUGUAUCGUGUUUAUUAGCUUUCCUCUCGUGACGACGCCAACGGUCGGGGACUGUGAGAGUGGCCUCCACGCGUCCUGGGAAAUCCUCUCUUCCGUGCCUCCUCCAUGAACUGGUAGCCAUCGCUCAACCAAAUCCACUCUCUCCUUCUCACAUCCGGGUUCUACAAAGACUCCUUAGUCUUGGCCAAGCUCGCUGAGAUCUCAGCCCUCUCCACCCACCCUCCUUCGCGUACAGAACUUUUCAUCAAAUCCGCUAUCUUCAACUAAUUGAUCUCCGGUUUGGUUGGCAAUGGGGCUUCCCCCGACAGGCGCACCCUCCCGGCGGUGCUAAAAUUUCCCACGAAAUUCUCGGGCAUUGGAGAAGCCAGGCAGCUUCACGGUGUUCCAGUCACGACGGGAUUUUUAUUUGAUUUCUAUGUGCAGAAUGCUCUAGUUCAUGUGUAUGGUGCGUGCGGUGAUUAUGUCGACGCAGGUGAUUUGUUUGUUGAAAUGACUGUUAAAGAUGUGGUCUGGUGAACUGCCUUGUUUUCCGCAUAUGUGAAAGGCGGGUUCUUUAGCAGGGACUCUGAUGGAUGUGGAGCCAAACAUGGCGACUCUAGCGAGUGUGCUUGUCGCCAGUGGGAGACUGGGAAAUGUAAACACGGGUAAAAGAAUUCGUGGGUUGAUCUUCAAGCAUGAAGGGGAGUUGGAGUGGUUUGUAGGAAAUGCUCUUUUAGAUAUGUAUGUGAAGUGUGAGUGUUUGGACGAGGCAAAGCGGAUCUUUGAGGAGCUCCUAGAUAGGGACAUAACUUCAUGGACGAGCAUCAAAAUUGGGCUGGUGCAAUGAAAACAACCCAACGAUGCCAUAGAAGUGUUUCAUGAGAUGCGUGCUUCGGGGUUGGAACCAGACAAGGUAACUUUGUUCUGGUGUUCUUUCAGCUCGUGCAAGCUUGGGAACACUGGGUUCCAGGAGAUGGGUCCAUAAGUACAUUGAGCGCAGAGGAAUUGAGUGGGAUGUUCAUAUAGGGACUGCCAAGGUUGACAUGUAUGCCAAGUGUGGGUGCCUGGAGAUGGCAAUGCUCACCUUCCACAAGAUGCCUCACAGGAAGGCCUCCUCGUGGAAUGCGUUGCUUCGUGGCCAGGCGACGCGCAGUCAUGGUCAAAAAGCCCUCCAGCUCCUUGAUUGGAUGAUUAGAGAUGGGGUUAGUUCCAGUGAGGGGACCUUUCUAGCUAUCCUCAGUGCGUGUUCUCACUCUGGCAUAGUGGAAUGAGGCUGUUGCCACUUUAACUCCAAUGAUGGAACUCUACAAUCUUGCACCAAAAUUAGAGCACUAUGCAUGCACCAUUGAUCUGCUCUGUGGAGCUGGGCUCAUUUCAGAAGCAUGAACUCAUUAAAUCCAUGCCGAUGAAAGCCGAUGUGCUUAUAUGGGUGCAAUGUUGAGUUCCUGCAAAGCAGAUGCACAUGUGAGCUCUCCCAACAUAUUCUAGGCCAUCUUCUUGAGCUGGAUCCUUCUGACAGUGGGGUGUAUGUGCUCCUCUCCAACAUAUAUGCCAUGAGUGAUAGGUGGGGAGAUGUGACAAGUGUGAGGAAGUUGAUGAGAGAGAAGGGUAUAAAAAAGGAACCAGGGGCCAGUGUCGUAGAUGUGAAUAAUAAAGCUCACGAAUUUGUAACUGGUGAGAGUUACCACCCCCAAAAGGAUGAGAUUAGUCUGGUAUUAUGCAGUCCAGCAAAACAAGUGCAACUUGAUGGUCUCUAAUCGUGUGGGUUGUUGUUCGGUUACAAUGGUAAGUGGUGAAGGCUCUCCAACAUAUCUGAUUUAUUUAUUUGUCAGUUAAAUUUAUCAAUGGCAGAAAAAGAAAAGAAUAAGGAGGUAAGCAUUUGGCACGUAGAUUUGUUUAUGAACAACCCAAUUCUUCUUCUAACAUGAGAUUUGGCCAAACUAAGCAGUAAAAGAUGGAUGAUAAGUUCAAAUGCAUGCCUCUGCUAACCAAAAAUUUGUAGAGGCCAGCUGUUCAUAACCUCGUUCCUAUGAAAACUGUCAAUACCUUGUUUUGGAUGCUAGUCAGCCGGUUCAAAAGAUAUUGUAUGUGGGUGCUUAUCCAUAUGGAAAUCUUUGAGAAUUAACUCUGGGAGCUGCCUACUUUUGCCAAAUUUGUCUCCCAAGGUCAUUCUAGCAGUCAUCAUUAUAAUGAUUAAAGGCAUUGUAAACAUGCUUCAUGACGAAUUCUUUCCUCAAAAGUGCAAGGUUGGGAACUUUCUCAUAUGACCCCAGAUCAUCUGUCAAAGGCGAUCUACCAUUACGUACGAUCCUGUGUACCUUACAGAGUUUGAGGUCAGCAUUUGGGGACUCAUCUAUUGGAGGCCAUGUUGCCUUAGGAAUGUUCCUACCUCCUUCAUGGUGCUGGAAUUUGAACUUCUGGACUUAUAUCUUUUUUUUUUUCUGUGCAGGUGCUCUCUUUUGGUUGGAUUGCUUGGGCUUGGUGCAUCAGGGUCCACCAUCGCCUUGUGAAAAGAUGGUGCAUGUGGUAGGAGAUGCUUCACUCCAAGUUUUCGGCCUAGACAUCUGUGGGAUUCCAUGAUCAAGGCUAUCCACAACUGUCAAGCAUCAUUGGAGACUAGCUAUCUUUGUCAUAUCAUGC